GACGAACGCUGGCGGCGUGCUUAACACAUGCAAGUCGAACGGGGUCCAACCCCUCGCAAGAGAGGGGAAAACCUAGUGGCGAACGGGUGCGUAACACGUGAGGAACCUGCCCCGAAGACCGGGACAACACCGGGAAACCGGUGCUAAUACCGGAUACCCCCAUUUGGUCGCAUGGCCGAAUGAGGAAAUGGAUUCCGCUUUGGGAGGGCCUCGCGGCCUAUCAGCUUGUUGGUGAGGUAACGGCUGACCAAGGCUUCGACGGGUAGCUGGUCUGAGAGGACAACCAGCCACACUGGGACUGAGACACGGCCCAGACUCCUACGGGAGGCAGCAGUGGGGAAGCUUGCGCAAUGGGCGAAAGCCUGACGCAGCAACGCCGCGUGCGGGAUGACGGCCUUCGGGUUGUAAACCGCUUUCAGUAGGGACGAAAUUGACGGUACCUGCAGAAGAAGCCCCGGCCAACUACGUGCCAGCCGCCGCAGUAAUAC
rnacentral:rRNA from 1 species